UACAGAGGGUGCAAGCGUUAAUCGGAAUCACUGGGCUUAAAGCGUUCGUAGGCGGGCUUGCAGGCGCGUUGUGAAAGCCCCCGGCUCAACCGGGGAACUGCUUCGCGAACCGCAAGUCUUGAGUCAAGUAGGGGCGGUCGGAACGAUAGGUGGAGCGGUGAAAUGCGUAGAUAUCUAUCGGAACGCCAAAGGUGAAGACAGGCCGCUGGGCUUGUACGGACGCUGAGGAACGAAAGCGUGGGGAGCAAACGGG
rnacentral:rRNA from 1 species